GUGCCCCUGCGAGAGCCCAGCCGCCGGCAGGGCGCAAGCGGGAAGCUGGAGGGAGAAGUCCGGGUGCUGCUGGGGAGCCCCAGAAGGGGGUCGCUGGAGAAGUUGAAAAGAAAACAUUAAAACUCUUCAAGAUGUGAGCUCGCAGGAGCCCGAGAACGUCCACCCAGUGGGGAAAAAUGGCGAAGUGAAUCAGUCCUGAUUCUGCCAGAGUUUUCACCCAUCUCUUGGGGUUCUCUCGUUUUGAUUUCUGCUGCCACCAGCUAAAAGUGUUUCAAGGGAGAGACAGAGCAUGAACGGGGGAGGGUCAGAGAGAGGAAGA